rnacentral:rRNA from 1 species
GACGUAGGGGGCGAGCGUUGUCCGGAGUUACUGGGCGUAAAGGGCACGCAGGCGGUCGGCGGCGUUCGCGCUGACAGGGGUCGGCUUCACUGACCCAGGAGCGCGAAAACGGGCUGACUUGAGGCGUGGAGAGGGACCGAGAAUUCCGGGUGGAGUGGUGAAAUGCGUAGAGAUCCGGAGGAAUACCCAAGGCGAAGGCACGGUCCUGGCCACGACCUGACGCUGAGGUGCGAAAGCCAGGGGAGCGAACGGG